GGCUGGCCUUGAUUCUGAUAAUUCCAAUGUACUUUUGUCUUCUAUGUGUGCUCCAAUUGUACCCAGUAACAGAGAGGUAGCAGAGGCAGGACAUACUUGUUCCAACAGUGUCCUGUCAUUGGAAUCAACAGACUUUGGAAUGGAAACCAUUGAUGUGUCAGACAAGGUGAAGCUUGAGGACAGCUGUGUCAUUGUGGACAAUAGUAUGCUUUAUGAAGUCUCUCGUAGAACCCACAAACUCAGAUCAUACAAGAAAAAAAUCCAGGAUGCCUUUACUUCUAAGAAGAAGCUCAGCAAGGAGUAUGAGCAACUAGCAAUUUGGUAUGGAGACCUUGAUAUAGAGGGCAGCCAUGAUACAUUGCAGGGCCAGUUGCAAUCUGGCACCACUGUAACCUUGGACUCUGAUUUCCGAAUGCAUCAUAUGCAUGACUCUGAAUGGGAGCUAUUGUAAAAAACUCAAGAAGUCUAACGUUGAUAACAGCCCGUGGUUGGGCAGCCUAUUCUUCAGGUAAGCAAGUUCAAGAUGAUGUCACUCCUUGUGAAUAACCAUAGUUGACGGCUCCCACUUCUAGUAAAUAGAUACAGAAUAAUAAUUUUUAGGCAAUAAUUUAUCAAAAUUCUGAUUAUGAAAAGUUGCUACAAAAUUCAACUUAUAUGU
rnacentral:misc_RNA from 1 species